UACGAAGGGGGCUAGCGUUGUUCGGAAUUACUGGGCGUAAAGCGCGCGCAGGCGGUCCUUUAAGUCUGAUGUGAAAGCCCACGGCUCAACCGUGGAGGGUCAUUGGAAACUGGGGGGACUUGAGUACAGAAGAGAAGAGUGGAAUUCCACGUGUAGCGGUGAAAUGCGUAGAGAUGUGGAGGAACACCAGUGGCGAAGGCGACUCUUUGGUCUGUAACUGACGCUGAGGCGCGAAAGCGUGGGGAGCAAACAGG
rnacentral:rRNA from 1 species